GAUGAACGCUGGCGGCGUGCCUAAUACAUGCAAGUCGAGCGAACAGACGAGGAGCUUGCUCCUCUGAUGUUAGCGGCGGACGGGUGAGUAACACGUGGAUAACCUACCUAUAAGACUGGGAUAACUUCGGGAAACCGGAGCUAAUACCGGAUAACAUGUUGAACCGCAUGGUUCAACAGUGAAAGACGGUUUUGCUGUCACUUAUAGAUGGAUCCGCGUCGCAUUAGCUAGUUGGUAGGGUAACGGCUUACCAAGGCAACGAUGCGUAGCCGACCUGAGAGGGUGAUCGGCCACACUGGAACUGAGACACGGUCCAGACUCCUACGGGAGGCAGCAGUAGGGAAUCUUCCGCAAUGGGCGAAAGCCUGACGGAGCAACGCCGCGUGAGUGAAGAAGGUCUUCGGAUCGUAAAACUCUGUUAUUAGGGAAGAACAAAUGUGUAAGUAACUAUGCACGUCUUGACGGUACCUAAUCAGAAAGCCACGGCUAACUACGUG
rnacentral:rRNA from 1 species